GAUGAACGCUGGCGGCGUGCCUAAUACAUGCAAGUCGAGCGAACGGACGAGGAGCUUGCUUCUCUGACGUUAGCGGCGGACGGGUGAGUAACACGUGGAUAACCUACCUAUAAGACUGGGAUAACUUCGGGAAACCGGAGCUAAUACCGGAUAAUAUUUUGAACCGCAUGGUUCAAUAGUGAAAGACGGUUUUGCUGUCACUUAUAGAUGGAUCCGCGCGGCAUUAGCUAGUUGGUAGGGUAACGGCUUACCAAGGCAACGAUGCGUAGCCGACCUGGGAGGAGGACCGGCAAAACUGGAACGGAGACACGGUCCAGACUCCUACGGGAGGCAGAAGUGGGGAAUUUUCGACAAUGGGCGAAGGCCUGAUGAGGCAAGGCCGCGUGGUGGAGGAAGGUCUUCGGAUGGUAAAACCCUUUAAUUGGGGAGGAAAAAAGGUUAAGUAACUAGUCACUGUUUGAACGUUACCAAAAAAAAAAGCACCGGUUAACUCCGGG
rnacentral:rRNA from 1 species